rnacentral:lncRNA from 1 species
GUUUUCUUCUGCUUAAUUAUUAUUAUUGGUUAAUCAUAGCAAAAUAUUUAUAUAAUCAUGUCUAUAUUUUAUUAUUUUAAACUUUUUGAUGAAGACUUUAAAUUUUCUUCUAAAAACUCAUUAUGCCAAUCCAACCACUUUUGCUUGGGUAAAUUCUUUCCUUGGUGCAAGGUGUAACCCUCUAAUCCCAGCUGUCACUUAUGACAAAUUAGGACUUGCAAGCCCACAAAUGCAGAUCACAUGUCCCAGAGAUGGAGAAUGUGAUUUCUCCCGGGGGCCGGAUAUGCAGACCAUUAUAUCAUCUCACACUCUGAGAGAGUCUCCCCUUUCCAUACUUACUGAGUACCCUCUGAUUGUACAGCAUCUUCAUCUCUGACCUCUAAGCAGGGUCACUGUUGUAACAGCCCAGAGAAAGCUUUCAGGAAUGAAUGAAUGCUUAGAGAAAUCAGGUAACAUGCUCUGUCCAGGACAGUGAUCAUUUCUGACAAUGUGGAUAGACAGACUUCUUCUGCAGUCCAUUGAUUUCAGUGUCAGGCAGAUGAAAAGCAGCAUAUUGAUGAGCCUUUGUCAUUACUUUGCCAAAGGUGUCUUGUCAGAUAACAGACCAAUAGAGGAAACCAACUUAAGACAGGCUAUUACAUCAAUUUUCUUGGCGCUGAAGGAAAGAGAAUGAACUGUGAUAUUUAAACUAAUCGAUACCUACAAAGAUAUUCUUAAACUCUUACAAUAAAUUGUUUUGAUUUGCAAAGAAACGAGAGUGAUCUAGCAAAAGGAGAGAGGAAAAUGGGCCACAGAAGUUGAAGUAAAAGAUUUUCAUUCACAGCGAUAGUGAAGUUACACCUGGGACUCUUUUUAAAUGUUUACCUAUAUUAAAGGCUUAUCAAGAUAGUGUAAAAUGCCUUGUUCAAUCUUUUUUAACUUCCCAGUAUUAGCUUCUAGAACUCACAGCUGAGAGCAAAGGCCACUAUAUGUUCUGCAUUCUAAAUUCACAGAGAACUUCAGGCUGGGGUGCCAGUUACCUCCCCAAAGGACUUGCUGAAAGGUGCCAUUUGAGCAGUAUCAGAGGUGGACUUUCUCACCUCCCGAAGAAUUUUAUUUUUUGUGAAUUUCUUUGCAAUAUCACCACUAUUUUACUUUCAAAAUACCAUGUUAACAUAGCCAACAGACCCAAAACUACCAACCUUCUGAAUCUCAGAGCCCUAAAUAUGUUAUUAGCUAUAUUUGGCAGCAGAAUUUGGAAUCUGGUGCUUUUUCAGUUAAUCCCACAAAUUCAAACCAUCAGUUUUUCUCCAUCACCCCAUUCUUCAAACAAAAUUCAAAAUUUUUUAUUUUAA